rnacentral:rRNA from 1 species
UACGGAGGAUCCAAGCGUUAUCCGGAUUUAUUGGGUUUAAAGGGUGCGUAGGUGGGCAGUUAAGUCAGUGGUGAAAUCUCCGGGCUCAACCCGGAAACUGCCAUUGAUACUAUCUGUCUUGAAUAUCGUGGAGGUAAGCGGAAUAUGUCAUGUAGCGGUGAAAUGCUUAGAUAUGACAUAGAACACCAAUUGCGAAGGCAGCUCACUACACAAUUUAUUGACGCUGAGGCACGAAAGCGUGGGGAUCAAACAGG